CGGACUACACGGGUUUCUAAUCCUGUUUGCUCCCCACGCUUUCGUGCCUCAGCGUCAAUACAGAUCCAGCCAGCUGCCUUCGCAAUCGAUGUUCUAUGACAUAUCUAUGCAUUUCACCGCUACAUGUCACAUUCCGCCAACCUCAAUCUGAUUCAAGCCAAACAGUAUCAAAGGCAAUCUCCCGGUUGAGCCGGAAACUUUCACCUCUGACUUAUCUGGCCGCCUACGCACCCUUUAAACCCAGUGAUUCCGGAUAACGCUUGCACCCUCCGUAUUACCGCGGCGGCUGGCACGC
rnacentral:misc_RNA from 1 species